AUUGAACGCUGGCGGCAGGCCUAACACAUGCAAGUCGAGCGGAUGCAGGGAGCUUGCUCCUGGAUUCAGCGGCGGACGGGUGAGUAAUUCCUAGGAAUCUGCCUGGUAGCGGGGGAUAACGUCCGGACGCGGGCGCUAAUACCGCAUACGUCCUGAGGGCGAACGUGGGGGAUCUUCGGACCUCACGCUCUCAGAUGAGCCUAGGUCGGAUUAGCUAGUUGGUGGGGUAAAGGCCUACCAAGGCGACGAUCCGUAACUGGUCUGAGAGGAUGAUCAGUCACACUGGAACUGAGACACGGUCCAGACUCCUACGGGAGGCAGCAGUGGGGAAUAUUGGACAAUGGGCGAAAGCCUGAUCCAGCCAUGCCGCGUGUGUGAAGAAGGUCUUCGGAUUGUAAAGCACUUUAAGUUGGGAGGAAGGGCAGUAAGUUAAUACCUUGCUGUUUUGACGUUACCAACAGAAUAAGCACCGGCUAACUUCGUG
rnacentral:rRNA from 1 species